UACGUAGGGUGCAAGCGUUAAUCGGAAUUACUGGGCGUAAAGCGUGCGCAGGCGGCUUUGCAAGACAGAUGUGAAAUCCCCGGGCUUAACCUGGGAACUGCAUUCGAUACUGCCGUGCUUGAGGACUGGAGAGGAGACUGGAAUUUACGGUGUAGCGGUGAAAUGCGUAGAUAUCUGGAGGAAUACCGGUGGCGAAGGCGGCAUCCUGGACCAUAACUGACGCUGAGGCGCGAAAGCUAGGGGAGCAAACGGG
rnacentral:rRNA from 1 species